rnacentral:rRNA from 1 species
GACGAACGCUGGCGGCGUGCUUAACACAUGCAAGUCGAACGGAAAGGCCCUGCUUUUGUGGGGUGCUCGAGUGGCGAACGGGUGAGUAACACGUGAGUAACCUGCCCUUGACUUUGGGAUAACUUCAGGAAACUGGGGCUAAUACCGGAUAGGAGCUCCUGCUGCAUGGUGGGGGUUGGAAAGUUUCGGCGGUUGGGGAUGGACUCGCGGCUUAUCCGCUUGUUGGUGGGGUAGUGGCUUACCAAGGCUUUGACGGGUAGCCGGCCUGAGAGGGUGACCGGCCACAUUGGGCCUGAGGUACGGCCCAGACUCCUACGGGAGGCAGCAGUGGGGAAUAUUGCACAAUGGGCUGAAGCCUGAUGCAGCAACGCCGCGUGCGGGAUGACGGCCUUCGGGUUGUAAACCGCUUUCGCCUGUGACGAAGCGUGAGUGACGGUAAUGGGUAAAGAAGCACCGGCUAACUACGUG